GAGCGGCGGAGCCCGGACUGCUCCUGCGCGCGCUCUCGCUGCCCAUGCCCGGCGCUGAUGCAGGAGGCUCUGCGAAACCGAAGGAAAACAGACAAGACAGACAGAGAGACAGCAGGAAGCUCAGAUUCUACAACAGGCUGAACAGAAGCUGUUGGAAGCCUCCCACGUGUCCUCCUCCUUCACAGCUUCCUGAAUUCUGCAGAAAUUCUGAAGAGAGAAUUUUAAUGAAAUGAUGAAUCAUUGGUAUUUGGCUAAAAAUUGUCUAGAACACAGAACGGCAUUUUACAUUCAUGCUGCAAAUGAACAACAUGAAAAGGUAUUGUAUCAUGUUUUGUUCACAUGUAAACCAGAAACUUUUGGAUACAAAUGUGUAUGUUAAUUCAGAAGAUAUUUAAAAAAUGUCUUCUCUUUGAAACUAAUGACAAGCAAGUAGAAAAAAGUCAUGGAACUUUGCUUUUAUAUGUGUGACAGCUGCAGCAAGACAUACGGUAUUUGAGCAUUGUUUUCUCAAAAA